rnacentral:lncRNA from 1 species
UGAAAAUAGAAAUAACUAAAAAAACUGCAAUUUUCAAUUCCAUCCAAACGUUCAACUUACAUUGAAAUCACGAAUCAAAUAUGGACCAAAUACACCACAUUGCAGUUACAAUUCAAACCUAAUUUCUAUUUCUAAACAAAAUCAAAAUUACAAUCAAAUCUAAUUCAAUCAUAUCCCAAUCAAAUCUAAACUUCCUAAAUCAGAUAAUCUAAUUAACUUCUAAACCUAAAAAAUUAAUCUAUAUAAACCUAGUUCUAAAACACGAAAAGAAAAAAAACAACUCUAAGAAAGGAAUCUUCAUUGCUGCAAACCAAACCCGCACAUAAAGCUUGAAUUAAUUUGAGAUUUAGGGUUUCACAUUGAAACCCUAAUUCUUCUAAGCUAGACCCCAACUUUUGUACCUCACAUCAAAAGACAGAAAUAAGAGGUUAAAGGGAGAAGAAGAGACAGUCAGAUCGGAAAAGAAAAGCAAGGAGUCAAAAUUUACCUCUUAACCAGAAUAAUUCUCCAUUCAGAAGGUUGGUUGUGAGCUCUUGAGUACUUUGUUUACUUGUUUCGUAUACAUAUCAAUGUUUUUACAGGAAUAUGUUUGCAUUGAAUUGUGAAAUAUGGGGGUUGUUAUUGUUCGAUUUAUCUUCAAAAAGGGUAAAUCGGUGGUUCAAGGUUUGAUCUAGGGAAAAUUAGGGAUUUCUGGGCAGCAACUAGGGUUAGGGUUCUUCGUAGGUUAGGGUUCUUAAGGUUCAUGAUAAACCUAAGUUAUGGUUCCCAGGGAUGGAGGUUAGCGUUCUUUAGUUUGGGGUUUCUGGAUUGAAGAUUUAAUUAGGGUUCAUCAUAUGAACCCUAGGGUUCAUUCGGGGAACCCGUGUAUAAAGGUAAGUGUAGUUUUUUUGGGAAAGGGUUUGAAGGUUUGAAGGUUCCGGUUGAAGAUCAACCAGAAACCUGGGUUUGAGAGUGGUUCUGGGAGGUCGGAGAAGUGUUCGGGGUGGUCGGAGAAGUUAGAGAGAUCCCAGAGUGAAGAGAGAGAAAGGAAAGGAGAAAAUACGAGUUUAUAAAGGGAGUUCAUUCAUAUACCUCCAUCAUAAUCUCUCGGAUUCGUGCCAAGUGGCGCUCCAACGAGAUCUAGAUCGGUUGACCACCCCGGUCUACCAAGGAUCAUGUAUAUGCAUAUACAUUGUGUUCCCCUAUUUACCUUAAAUAUGGACUUCUUAACCUGCGUACUUUGACCAGUCAACAUGAUCAAAGGCAGGUGUUACGCAUCACCAUCCCCCCUCAGGUCAUGAUCAGAUGGUGCAGAGAGAGUCAACAUUUGACUCUCCCUCAUCAUAGGCUCUGUCUCAUGAAUGGGCCUUAGAGUCUUGGUGGACUCUUCCCCUUAUUUUUCACACCCCUUCCUAAUAUCCCAUUACUAACCCAAUGUAAAAUACACCCUCCUCAUUUUAUUAAUUUUAGUUAAUUAUUUACUUAAUUAAUUAUUAAUUAGGAUCUAUCUAUUUAAUAUUUAAGAUUAAUUCAAAUAAAAAUUAGUUUUUUUUGUUAUUUAUUCAUGAUAUUUAUUUAUUUAAUUUUAAUUAAUUAUAAUAGUAAUAUUUUAAUUAAUUAUGGUUAUAUCAUUAUUAGGGUUAAUUAAAUCAGGAAUUAUGGGAUAUGAUCGAGGAUAAUUAUUAGGGUUUUAAGGGACCUAAAAAUGGGACAAAUGGGGAUAUGUCUUAUGACAUCUAAUUUAAUUACCUUUAAUCGGAUAUAUUUUGUAAUAUAUUAUUAUAUCAUAUUUAUAUUUUUCUAUUAAUUAAAUUAAAUAAUAUUUUCAACUCUAACGGGAUAAAGACAUGGGAUACAAUUUGAGAUAAAACUAAGGGGUUAUUAAAGGCUAAAUCGGGACUAAAAUUGGGAUAAAUGGGUAAUGUCUAACACAUAAUUAUGAUUCCUAAUCUAUUUUCUUAAAUAAAUUAAAACAAUAUUUUUGCAAGAGAUAAAGGGAUAAAAUCAAUUCAAAUUCACUUCAAACCGUAAGACUUCUACCCUAGUGUAUUGAGACAUUUUCUAAAAUCACUUCUCCGCCCCCAAUGCGUGAGAACUUUCAAGGGAUAAAAAUAACCAACCAACCAAUCUUUUUCAAAAAGAACUACGAUACUCGGAUCCUUCGUCUAAUGCGGAGGUACGUAGGCAUAAGUUGUAAACUCUAGCGAGUAUAAUUAUGAAAAACCUUUUUGGGUCUCUCGUCCAUUUAAAUAUAAUACCUUGUGUAAAUAAAUAAAUAAUCAAAUAAUCAAUCAGUAAUCAAGCAAAUACAUUAGGAACACACAUUAGCCCUAGAAUUGUAGGAGGAUCCCAUUGAAUACAAUGGAGGUAAGGGGUGCCUAACACCUUCCCCUUACUUAACCGACUCCCGAACCUAGUCUCUCCCCUUAACUAUUAGGUUUUAUCAUUAUUUCUCUGUUCCUUAUGAACGAAUAAAGGAUGGUGGCGACUAUUAGGCUUUGGUGAAGUAACAUGAAUGAAUGCCUAGAAGGUUAUGCUUGAUGAGUGUUGUUGUUUGUUGUUGUUUAUUGAUGUUGUAACAUCGAUUAAUUGUUGUAUAUGAUGAAUAAUUUUGUGCAUAAAUGGUGAGAUGUCUAUAUGGUGAUUCUUUUGGUGAACCUUUUUGUGAUAAUGCAUGUUGUUGAGAGUCAUGUAUCGCGGUGUAAGAGCUUUGGUCCAGUUUUGGCAUGAUAUGUUCCGGUGGUAUGGAUCGGGAGUGAGUAGCCGAUUCGAUGUGGAAAUUGGUGAAGUGUUACCUAUGGUGAUGGUAACAAACUUUGGUGUGCUCUGGUCCUAUGGUGGAGAUCGGUAGCGAGUAGCUAAUUUCAGGCAGGAAUCAGUGAAGUGUUACCUAUGGUGAUGGUAACGAUUUGGUGUGCUCUUGUCCUAUGGUGGGGAUUAGGAGCGAGAUGAACCUGAGUGUUUCUGAAUGGUACCACAUGCAUAAUGAGUCAGUUGUGGAGUAUAUUUGUAUAUAUGAUUGUAUAUGUUGUUAAUUAUUCAUGAUGUUUAUGAUUAGAAUUAAUUAUGUAAUUAUUGUCAUGAAUUUUAUGUGAGAAUAUGUUGUUGAUGGUUGUGUAAUAAAUGUGUGCUUCAUGUGUACUCUCUACCUUAGCAUUCUUUACACUAUUUAUAUUGGUUUGUUGUUUCUCACCCCCUUUUGCUUUGAUAUUGUCCUCCAUAGACAUUUUGUAGAUACUCAGGAGUAGAGUUUGUUACUGUAAGUGGAAAUUAGUUCUUGGAGUUAUUCAUUUAGUUUCAUUGUUGUUUUAGAAGUCUUACUCUGAUCCUAUAACAUCGGGGUUGAGAAUGUUUGUUUGCUUAUUAUGUUUGUUGGAGUUUAUUUGUUUAUUCAGUUUAUCUUGGAGUUAUUCAAAGAGUUGAAUAUGAUAACUUUUUACUUUGAUUUGAAGAUUAAGACUAAAAGUCUAACUUGCAAUGUUUUGUUAUUUGAAAUAAAUCGAUACCGCCACAAUGACGUCCUAAGUGAAGGUGAGCGUGUGAUGACAGGUGUUGUAUGACGUUAAUAUUUUCCGCUAUGUGUUUUUUAAAUGUUGGAUUUCUUAAAGGUUUUGUUGGUGGUGACACCUUAGAUUGGUAUGUAAAGCUUAAUAUAUAAGUUUUCGGAUUUAGGGUGUUACAAUCAACAACAUUAAUGAGAAUCUUAGCAUCGUCAUAAAUCAAGACUUUGAUUUGUUGUUCAUGUUGCUUAACCAUAGAAAAAAUAUUGUUGAUGUUAGAUAAAUGAUUCAUCAACCAAACCUGAGAGCGAACUAUAUCAAACGAGUCAUUCAAGCCAGUAAGAAAUCGAAUUGAGUGUGUAACUUCAUGUUGUUACUUAAAAUUACUCAAGCUUGUGUUGCAUGCAUAAUGAUGCAGACACAAGAAUAUAAGAGUAGGAAAGUAAGCUUCAAGUUCUUUCCAAAGAACCUUCAAAGCUGUAAAAUAAUCAUAAACCAAUAGUGAAUCAUGCUUCAAAGCAAAGAUUUCACAUUGUAAUUCAGAGAUACGAAUGUAAUCACCUGGUGAAAAAUCCUUGAGUUUAUUCCAUACAUCAAUGGAGUUUUCAAGAAAGAUGAUACUUUGUGCCAUGGAUUCUUCAACUGAGUUCAUAAUCCACGUGUGUACUAACAUGUUGCAGCGAUUCCAAGAUUUAAAACAUGGACUAAAUUCCUCUGGAACUAGAAUGGAACCAUCAACAAAAUCAAAUUUGUUCUUUCCUCCUAGAGCUCGUCGCAUGGAUCUCGCCAAUGCAUGAAAAUUCGAAUGUGUUAACACUAGUUUAACAUAAACAUAAGAAGGUUCACAUGAAGAAUGAACAUGGUACACGUUUCCAGUUUGUUGUGGAAGAUCUUGAAUCAGAGCACCAGCGACGAUGUUGCCGCCUAUAUUGGCACCACCACAAAACAUUGGAAGAAAAUGAUGCGUAGCAGAGCUCAAAAGAGCCCUGAUAUCAUGUUAAGAAAUACGGUUAGGCCCAACUCACCCAUAAAAAACCGAAUUUUAUGGUGGGAAUUGCCCCUACUUAUAAGGACAUGUUCAUGCCAUAUAUUAUUCGAUUUGGUACUCUUAACACACCAACUCACGCCUAAGACUGAACAUUUCGAGCGUGGAAAUAAAUGGUGGAUGAACCGAUAGCAGAAUCCUAAUAGUAGGUGGCCACCAGAUCUUAAACCAAACUCUUAUACCAUCAUGAAAUUUUCACAAAUCAUGAUAAAUAUGAAUGAAAACAGAGAAAAGAGAUAGAUGGAAGCAAAUUUUCAUUCAUUCACUAAAUCAAGGUAAUUACAAGCCGUGGUUAUUUAGAAGUUUAUAAUCGGAUAACCUCUAACUAAGUCUAACCUCUAGCAAAUUAUAUAAGGAAUAAGUUUCUCAAUGUUGUCAUAUAAGAAAAUAAUGAAUUAAUUGAUAUUUACUCUGGUUGACAACAUUGAGAAAUUAUUCCCGAAUAUAACAAUGGAUUGUAAGAGAUGGAUUCAACAACAACAUCAUUUUAUGAGAUAAAUUAUAGAAUAGAAAAAUAUUUUGUUCAAGAUUGAUAAAAUUAAUCUCUUUAAUAAAUGAAUGUAACAACAACGACAACAACAAUAAGCUUAUUGCUAUUGGUGGUGCAACUUCACAACUUCACCACUAGCAUCUUUUGUUUUAGUUUAUGGCAAUUGGUGGUUCAACUUCACAACAUCUUAAAAUAUCCCCUCUUAUUUUAAUAAAACAAGUAUGUAUAAUAAUUAGAAUACGAGGGAGUAGUUUUUUAUGUUUUAGAAAGUUGAAGAGAUUUUAGUUGACGUGUGUGGCUUUGGGAAAUAGCAGCAUUUAACUAUCCUACAAGCAACAUAAUUGCGUGCAUAAUGCAAUUAAUACAUGAAAUAUGAAGAGGCACAUUCAAAAACUGAAGCAGCCAAACAGUUGCUAAGGUCUGAUUAAUAUUGUUCCAUUUUUUAAUUUUAAUAUAUAAAGAAUGGGAAAUGAGUGGGAGUUUUAAAGUUUGCUGCUAUGGCUUUUCAACAACCAGGAGCAGAGUCUAAAACGAUUCCACUGAAAAUAUUGGUGGACAAACAAAGAAACAAAGUUGUUUUUGUGGAAACAACUAAAGACUUUGUUGACACCCUUUUCAGCUUCCUUUCUCUUCCUCUUGCUACCAUUGUUCGUCUUUUAGAAACAAAUAACAAAGGCAAACAACAAUCAGAGUCUUCACCAUUCCUUGACAACAUAAAAAAUCUCUACCAAUCUGUCCAAAACCUCGACUCAGACGAUGUUUGGAACAACCCUGUCUGCAAACAAAUAUUGUUGCGUCCCAGAAAUCCAUGUGAAUCUCUUUGCAUGAAAUUGUUUAUGGAUAUCGAAGAAACUGAAUUAUCAACUAAGUUUUUUGUUUGCGAUUUUUGUUACAAGUUCACUACUUAUCCAAAUAUUCAUUGUACAUGUGGAAAAUCCCCUACUAAAAAGCCUCGCAAUUUGGAUAUUCAGACUCGGGAGAGUGCUCAAGAUGGUGUAUUUGUCAGAGAUAAAGGAUCAAUGUUUCUGAUUUCAGAUGAUUUGAAGAUUGUGUCGAGUUCUAUGUUGAGUUCAUUAGAUAUGAUGAUCAAAUUGGGCUGUUCAGACUUUACUCAAUUAGAGGAAAUCACACACAACAUUGGCAAGCAUGAGGUAAUACAUGUUUUUACUUUCUUUCACGCCUAUGGUUUUAAAUUGCGUUUUGCAACCACCAUUGCAUUUGUUCGAAAUUGUUUAUACAGACACAAGUUGUAUCUGCAAAUCAAACAUUUUAUGUAUUAUGGUUACAAUGCUGUUUUAGAGACCUUUAAAAUUUUAAUCUAUGCUUCACCCUUUAGGAACCAGGCAACCAUUCUUAGGGAUUUAUUUUAUACAAGCAAAAGACUAAAAAAGGGUACAUCAAUAAAGACAUACUCAAGAUUUUAAUUAACAGAUGUGGUUACGUAAAAGUUUUCACGAUUUUGAUGGGUACAAGUGUUACAAUGUUGGUUGCAGUCAGGGUAUAAAUUAAUGAAAAAACUAUUUUUCAUCGUAAAAAUAGUGAAUAACGGUAUGAAUAUCGUUAUCAGCCCCUUGUGAAAUUCUUUAAAACUGAAGCGUCAAUUAAAUCAUGUUACAUCACUUAAUAUUUGAUGCAGCUUUUCAAAAUCUUGUGUCUAUUAACUCAUUCAUCUUAUGUUAGUUUCUACCUCCUAGCUUAGUCAUUUCAAUAUUGCAUACGCUUUAUUUUGUUAUAUACUCUAAUCAAACUCAUGCAUAGCACAAGUUUUUUAUACUAGAUUCUUACCAUUUCCGUUUUAACAUUUUUUAUAGGUGUUAAACCUUCUCAUGUAUACAUUAACCUCUCACGAGCCUCUCACAAAUACAAUCUUGGCAAGUAGCUCUAAAAACAAAGACUACAGCCAACCUAACCUAUUUGCGUCCGCAGUUAGAAUAACUCCUUUUGCCAGUGACAACACCCGGAAAAUAGAUGUUAAAGUAAUGCAAAGUAAAUCUCAAAAAAAUAUAAUCUAUGCCGAAACCAAUGGAGAUUUUGUUGACUUCAUUUUUAGCUUUCUUACCAUGCCAUUAGGGUCCAUUGUAAAACGUUUGGGAGUUAAAUCUUUUUCUGGAUGUGUUGGUAAUUUGUACGAGAGUAUGAUGAGAUUUGAUCCCACAUCAGUGUUACUUGAUCCUGGCAUAGUACAACAAUUUAGUUGUCCCAACUAUCCUCUCAAAAUUCCCCAUGUAUUUCCACUUCCCACUACAUAUUAUUAUGGUAUGUACGAGAAGGGAAAAGACCAUGAAUAUAGGGGAUUGAUUUCUAAGUCACGGGAAUCUAUUAAUCGCCCAACAUCGUUGAUUUCACUUGACAUUUUAAAAGACGGUGUUGUGGGAUUUGUGAAGAAAGAUGCAUUGUAUGGUGUUGGAGACGAUCUAAAAGUAAAACCAGUUUCUGCUAAUUUUUGCUUUUCGUAUCUGAAAGAAUUGAAUCUUUCUCUUGAUGAUCUUGAAGUGAAGGUGAUAAGCAUCGGUGAAGUCGAGGUAAUGUGGCUAUUAAAUUAUUGAUAAUUUGUUCUUUCUCUUUUCUUUUGUUAUUUUAACAAUUUGAUAUUCCCUUGACUUGUUAAUUGUGGUGCAGGCUUUGAGCCUCCUUGGAGCUUGUGUGACAUCAAACUUUACCUUGACUAGUGGACUCAAACACUUCUUGAAUGUCCCAAAACAAGAAUCAACUUUGACAUGAGCAACCUAGUAGGUUAAUUUGAUUAUUUUUCAAAUGAGGCUGAGUUAUCAAUUGGUUGUAGUUUCAGUUUUUUUUAACCAUAACUAGAAGAUCUUGGACCUCGUUUUCUAAUUUUAGUAAUUUGUUGGUUUUUUAUGAUUUUAAUAAUUAAUUCGAUUGUAGUUUCUUCUAUUGGUUUUGAUAUACCAGUUCUAUUACUUUAUAGUUUGUUAUCCUAAUCCUAUCUUGUUCAAUGUUAUAAACUGCAAACUGUUUUUUCUGUAACCAGUUAGGUCUUAUGGAAGCCAAAAAACCUUAUUAAUACAGUUUGUUAAAAAAAUGGUCCAUUGUUUGUGGUUUCUCAUAUUCUUAAAGCCAUCCAUAUGAUUCAACCUGUGUUGUUUUUGUUUGUUUCUUUAUCUAUCUCACAAUUUUCUAAUGAGUCUUUUUUACAAUGUUGUUCUUCUUACUAUUUCUAUUUUAACAUUUUGUAUAGAUAUUGAACCUUCUCAAGUAUACAUUAAACCUCAUGAGCCUCUCACAAAUACAAUUUUCUCUCUUUCAUUUAUUAUAUUUAUUAUUUAUUAUCUAUUAUAAUAUAUUAAAAGUGUGUCUCAAACUAUUCUAUUAACAACUCAUUCUUUUAUUGGACACAUCUUAAAAAAUCUGAUGUGACACUCUUCGAAAUAUAAUAUUUCAAAAAAUUUAUUAUUCAUUUGAGGAAUAUGUGUAACAUUUCAUUUAUAAUUUUUUUUAAUUUAAAACACUUAUAUUUUCAUAUUUCAUUAGUCAUCUCUUCAUAUUCCUCUAAUUAAAAAAGUUAUGGUUACUCCAUUCCUUAUAUAAAAUUACAUACUUAUGCAAUUUGUACAUCCACAAUACAUCGGAACAAAUAUUAUUAUAGAAUACAUGCAAGUACAAAUUAUAUAUUCAUCAUAUAUCAAAACUCGAACUAUUAAAUUUUCAUUCUAUUUUCUAUUACUCAAACUUAUUCCGUAUAAAAAAACUAAAUUAUUUUAAAUACCUCGAUAUAAAAUUAUGAGACAUAAUUUAUUUUCUAAUAAAAUUAAAUUAGUCAAUUUUCAAAUAUCUUGAUAAAAAAAUUAUGAUAACUAAUUUAAUUUCUAUAAAAAUUAAAAUAACUUUUAGUUUCUUGAUAAAAGUGAUAACAUUAUCACUUCUUAAACCCAAAAAAAAGAGAUACUAGUAACAAUUAUUUAGCAACAAUUAUAACACUAUUAUUAUUAUUAUUUUAAAAAAUUAAAUCUAAUUACAAUUCUAAAAAUAUUAUCAAAUAAUUCUUUCAUAUUUAACUUAUAAUUUUCAAAUAGACAAACAAAUGCUUCAAAUUAUUUUCUAAAAUAUUAUUUUGAAUCAUAAUUGCAGAUAUAUAUAUAUAACAAAAUUAAACCAUUACAAAUUUAACUCAAAAUAGUGAGUUUUGUUUAUGAUUUUAAUGUUGAUCUUAUGAAUGAUAGAGUAAUUUGAAUGUGAAACGUCUUUUAUCUAUCAAAUAAUGAAGAAUAAAUAUUCUUAUAGAUGUUAAAGAAAAAAUAAAUAUACAAAUAAAAUUAUUGAAAUUUACACUUAUUUCAUAUUUUAAAAUUAAAUUGUGAUGUCUUAUUUGCAUUUCUAUGAUUCAAAUAUUAUUUUUUCACUUAAACUUUUACUCUCUUUUUAUCAUCUUCAUCAUUUCGUCUCAAUUACAAAGUUUUUUAUAAUAAAAAAUAUCUAUGUUUUAUAAUAUUACUUAAAAAUUCAUCUUAUCAUCACGCAUCGCGCGAGUCUCAAUCUAGUUUUCUUAAUUCGUGUGAAAAUGUAACUAUGCCACUUAUUUUGGGAUGGCGAGAAUAGUUUGUUAAAGUUCUAUUCUGUUCUUGUUGAAAUGCUACUACCGUUCUAAAAUAAGUGUCGUAUUUAUAAAUUAUUUGUCUCAAAAUACUUAUCAGUUUAGAUUAGCAAUGAAAUUUUUAUUUUUAUCUUCCAAUUAUACUCUUUAAGUAAUACUCUUAAUUUAUUGUUUUCUCAUUUUGUAUUAAUUCUAAUUUAUAUACACCAAUUAUUGAUAAGAAUAAUUUGAUAAAAUAAUUAUUCUCUCUCUUUUAUUCUUUACAUUUUCUUAAUUUGUUUGAAAGUGUAUGACACUUAUUUUUGGACGGAGAAUGUGAAGUUGAACAUGUAAUGUCUCAUGAUCAAGUUGUCGAUAUUUUUACCAAGCCAUCAAAGUUCGAAACUUUUGCGAAGCUAAGGAGCACUACAACAAAUAAUACAUUUUACGAUGAAGCUUUCACUUCGGACAUUUAAAAAUCGGGGGGAUUUAUCUUAGGAGUGUCAUGUUCUAUUUAAAAAAAUGUGCAAUCUAUUCCCUCGAAUAUAGCUCUAAGGGAAAUCAUUUCGAAUCUCAGUUACUGUAUUUUAUAUUUUUUUUCAAUGAUUUAAUCUUUUUUUUAAUUGACACCUUUUCAGCUUCCCUUUUUUUCAUUGUUAAUCUUUUUUGUCUUCCGUUUUUAUUAGUAUUAACCUCAAUUACAUGUCCAAAUGAGAGGUAAUAUAUUUUGCAUUAAUAUUUUCAAAUCAAUUUUUUCAAAAGUCUUUUUUAAUUUUUUAUUUUAUAUAAUCAAAUCCCUCAUAUUUUUUAAUAAAACCAAUGUGAUAUAUAGUUUAAAUAUAUUCCUAAAAUAUAGUGUUAUGGUUCUUUUAUAUAUUUUUUAUUUUUAAAUAAAACAAACACGUCGAUUUUUUUUAAAAACCGACGUGAUUUCUCUUUUGCAUGAAAUACUUCAAAGAACUAAGCUUAACUUUUCAUUACCUAUCAAUGCUCUAACUUCAUAUCAUCAUUCUCUUUGCAAAAAUCUAGACGACUUUCAUCAUAACUCUCAUCAAAACUUUUCCAACAAUAGGUUUAUAUCAAAAGGCAUUCAUCAACACUCGAACAUCAAAAUUUAUCACGUUUGAGGUACGUGUGUUCUUGUUUAUCAAGUUUGUUCUUCUUCCAACAAUAGGUUUAUAUCACUGAAGUGGCUUAUAUCAUUGAAAUGGUUUGUCUUGAUCAUUUGUUUUUCCAUUUUGAUCGCUGGAAUGAUUUAUAUCAAUGAAAUGACUUUAGUAUCACUGGAAUAACUUAUAUAACUGAAAUGGUUUCUCUUGAUCAUUUAUUUUUCCAUUUUGAUCAUUGAAAUGUUGUUAGUUAGUAUGUUUCUGUGAGUAGUUCUUCUUCUAUGAGUUGUUUUUCACUUGCACUUAUUUAACUAAAAUGACGUUAGUAUCACUGAAAGUGCUUUAGGAUCACUUGCAUUUGCUUCUACGUGUUAUUUUUCACUGAAAUGAUGUUAGUAUGUUUCUUUAUUUAGAUAGUCAUAGCCGUUUCGACAAGCAUCUCCCAUACAACAUCUGCUGCAACCUCUAUUGAUACAAAACAUUAAAGAAAAACUAGAUGUGUCACGAUGUAUACUAAGGUGAAAAAUGAGAACACAACUUAGCGAAGCGCAAUCACACGGUCACAUGAUGGACUGAACAGAGUUGCCACCGAACUUUAUUUAUUCCUAAAAACGAAUGGGGAAAUAUCGAUAAAACCCAAGAAAGAAUGACAAUGAUUAUGAUCGUCGCAACCAAAUCAGGGUUCGAGAGUCGACUAUGCAAGGGGAAGGUAUUAGCACCCCUCACGUCCGUUAUAAUCAAUGGGAACCAUUAGGUUAGUUAUACGUGUUAGUGUUAUCUUCAAAUGUUAGGCUUCUCAAGUUAUUAUGAGGGAAAGAAAGAAUAGAAGAGAGAAUAAUAUUUUUGGAUUUUGCAAUGAAGGGGACUAAACCUAAGUUUUUUAUUAAUGGGCCUGACAAGAUUUACAAAUCCUGCUCCUACGUAUCUCUACGUGCAAUAGAGAACUCAAGGCUUACGUAGUUCUGGGUAGAAAAAUAUUUGUUUGUUGGUCGAUUUUAGCGAAAGCUAUAUUAUAUUAAUCGACGAAAACAUUGUUUUACCCAAAAUAGAUGAGGAGCAGACAUAUACUACACAUCGAAUGGAUUUACAAAUCAACAUUCAGAAAAACGUCACUUAUCUCAACUCAACAAUUAUGGCCGAAGCAUUGCUUUACAUCAUCUUAAGACAAGGUUUCUUUCGUUUAUGAACAGGUUUUUCUAAUCAAUCGCGCGGCGGCGAAGAAAAGAGUUUGAUUGGUUGGAUGUAUAUUUGGGCUUGAAAGACGAGUAUUUAUGACUCGCAAGCUCUUACAACUUGGGCCUAAUACUCGAGAUUACGUCUGGACCUUUCACCCAGGUAAUCUUUUUCUUUCAAUUUUAUUGAGAAAAGACAUUUGAAUAUUUACAAAUAUUUUGAAGAGAAGACGAAAACAUAGGGCUUACAAGCUCUUACAACUUGGGUCUCAUAUUUGGGAUUACGACUGAAUAUUUCAUCUAGGUAAUCUUUUCUUCCAACUUACUUAUGAAAAUGAUUUGAAUAUUGGAGCGCUUUGAAGAGAAGACGAAUACAUAAGGCUUACAAGCUCUUACAGCUUGGGCCUAAUAUUCGGGAUUACGACUGGAUAUUUCAUCCAGGUAAUCUUUUUCUUCAGAUUUUAUUGAGAAAAGAUUUAAAAGAAUAGGUUAAUAUGAAGGUUUGAGAUUAAAAUGAUCAAAGUAUGGAAGUUCGAAAUCAAAGGAAGUUGAAUGGAUACACUCAAAAAGACUUGAUAUAAAAGGACCCCAAAAUAAUUCGAGUAUAAAUAAAUAAAUCAGUAAAUAAGUUUAUUUAUUUUUGACCCACUUAAAAAUAAAAAUAAAAAAUAAAAAUGAAAUAAAAUUAACAAAUGUUUUAAAAUAGUUUGAAUUAAAUAGGGGAUACAAAAAUGAUUAAGCUAAAUCAAUAAGUUAUGAAAAUAAAAUAAAAUAAAGAAUGAUAAUUAUAUGAAAAUAGAACUAAUGAAUUAAAAAUUGCCAAGGCUAAGGAUCAAACCUAAAGGCCUAGUGGGAAAUAGUGGGUGAAUCAACCACUAAGCCACGAGCGCCUAGCUAACAUAAAUUCACACUCAUAAGUAUAUAUAAAUUAAAUUAUCCACGAAAACCUUAAAAAAAAAUAGUAUGGAUUGGGCCCAGAGGCGGGAGGAUAUGAAUCUCGGGUUGGGUCAACCUAACCCAGUGCCUUAUAACAUGAAGGGAGGAAACAAGCGAGCCCUAAUUCGGCUGCUACAUUUCCUUCCUGCAGAUAUAUUAUUUUCUUCAACUAUGGCUUGGUUCAACGUAGCAGCAGGAUGAAAAAAACACGUUCCACUUUUCCUCACCAACAUUCGUUCCCACUCAAACUACUCUUUCUCGCUGCACUCAUCCAUAAACCCCAUCUCUCGCCGUUCUCGCUCAAACUCUCUCUCUCUCUCUCUCUCUCUCUCUCNCUCUCUCUCUCUCUCUCUCUCUCUCUCUCUCUCUCUCUCUCUCUCUCUCUCCGUUCUCGCUCAAAUCCGGUUGUGAAGAGACAACAAUCAAGCCAACAACAAGAAAACGGGAACGGAAAAUACCAUAAAGUAAAGAUAAGUACCUACCUUGGAUCCAAACACAAUUUGAGAAAACUAAAGUCGACCUCAGGUACUUGGAAUUUUUUGCUUAUGUGAUAAUGAGAAUCUUUCGGUGAGGCUUUGUUGUUUGUGGGCUUUUGGUCUGAUGAAUAUUUUAAAGAUGUUUGGCUACUGAUCUUUUUGAUUUUUCGAUUCUGGUUUUCUUCUAUCUCUAUGAUUUUUAUGUCAUUCCCCCUUGGUGUUGUUUGUUUUUGAUCAUUUUAUAUGGAGAAUUUUAGGGUUUCAAAUAGAUGUAUAUUGAUGGAAAGGGAAGGAAUCAAAUAUGUUUUAACUUACUGCAAAAUAGUCUGCCUAUUUUUGUGAAACAAUUGUUUUCUAGUGUUGAAAUUUUUAUUGAUGCAGUAGUAUGUCAAUCCUCUUGCUUUUGCCUGUUAUUUUGUAUCACUAUAGCAUGUUAAUUCUGCUAUUCUGCACAUACAAGUGUACAGGACAAAACUUGUGCUCAAAGAAUCAAAUGUUUUGUUAUGUUGGUUUUAGUUACUAUAACAUGAAAAAUGAACUUGUAACUAAAAUACUUUUUUUUUGCUUAAUUAUUUUGUUUUUUCCUUAUGAUGUAGCCAAAAGUAACAUAAAAACUAUUUUUUUUUUUAAUUUUUUAAAAAUAAAAUAAAAUAAAAAUAAUAUAAUUAUAAAUGUUACAAAAUAUUCAAAUAAAUUCAAAUGAAAUGAAUAAAUUGUAAAACCAAGUUAAAAUUGUGAAACAAAAUGUAAAACAAAUUAUAAAACAAAUUGUAGAACAAAAAUAAUUAUCAUUAUCAUUUUUUUAAAAUUCAUAUCUUAAUUUGUGAAACAAAAAUUAAUUUGUCAAUACCUAUUUAAACGUAACAUAAAAAACUUUCUUGUUAGAAAUUUAAAAAAUAAUACCAAGGCAAACCAAAAAGAACCUAAUUUUUGAGAAUGCAAAGAUAUAAUUCUAAAUAAUUGAAGUUAAAUCUUUUAUGAUAAAAAUCUCUAAACCUACAAGCACUCAAUGUAAUGCAACAAGUGUCGAUUAUGGACAUGUAGUGUACGAUAGAAAACUUAUGGAAAAACAAAUGUAUGAAUGACAUGGUAAAUGAAGAAAAAAAAUCUAAUGAAAAUUUAAAUAAAUGCCAUUAAAAUGAAAUUAAAAAAAUGAAAUAAUUUAUAAAUAUGAAUAUUUAUGAAUGAAGAUCAUGGUUUUUUGAUGUGAAUUGGUAAAUAGAAAGAAUUCUAAUGAAAAUUAAAUUAAUGCCAUUAAAACGAAAUUUUAAAAAAAUGGAAUAAUUUAUGUGAAUGAGUGGAUGCAAAUUGAUAAAUACAAAUGCUUGAAAUGUAAAUGAAUGCCUUUAGGCGGGACAAAAUAUAGGGUAUGACAGAAGUAAAGUGAUUCUUUUGAUAGAUAGUUGACACAAAGUUGAAUAUGAUUUGAAAAACAACAUAUGGACCGAUAUUACGGUAUUUAUUUUGAAUUUGAUGAUUUACAAGUAUAUAUGAUCAUUUAUUUUUUUGUUUAAUACUAAUAACAAUUAAAUUAUGUAAACAUAUGAGGUGUUUGAUGUUAGUCUAGAUGAUAGUAUGGUGAAAAAGAAAUCGCUUAUAUAUGAUGGUGAACAUUGGAGGGGCUUUAAGACACAACUCACAUGAGAUUAUAUUACUAAUCCAAGAGAUGAAGAUGACCCAUAAUAUAAUCCUCCAUACUUUAUGUAUUCAUUUAAUGAUCAGGAUGUUUCAAAGAAAUUUGUAAAGUUUCGCACCACUCCUGAAUUUUUGGCCAAGAGCCAAAAAGGAAAGUAUAAUAGAUAUAAAAAUAUCUAUCCACAUAGAUUAUCUCAUGGAGGAUAUGAAAAACUUGAAAGAAGAUAAUUGAAGAAAAAAGAAAACAAGGGGAAUUGGAGCUGGGAGAUUCUAUAAGUCUUAAUCGCGCUUAAUCUCCCCCAUCACGCCAUGAGAAAUGGAAAAGGGCACAUAAAAGAAAAGGCGGCGAGUUCACAUCAGAGGCUACGCGCGAAGUUGCUGAAAUGAUUGUAAGUAGUUACUUUUUUCAACAAUAUUUAUUUUAGUUAAAUCAAUUUGGUAGAUAUGAAAUUUUAUAUGUGUUAUAGGAUGUAUUGGUUGAACAAUCCAAAGUAGGCCUCUUCAUUCCACAAGAUUAUCAUGACAACUUGGUAAAAGCGAUUGGAAUCGAGAAGCAUAUUCGGCGUGUUCGUGGUCUUGGAAGAGAUGUUGGCUUCAAGUCACAUUUUGGACCAUAUAAAUCAUAUAAACAAGUAAACUUUAGGAGAGAGAUUGAAGAUAUAGUUGUUGUACAUGUGGAGAUGUAAGGGAGAAAUAGAUUCGAGAGGAGACGGAGAGUUUGGUGCAACAGGUGCGGGAGAUUGUCCAGAAGGAGAAAGAGGAGCGAGAGAGGUUCGCCGAUUAGGAGCAAAAGAAGUCGAAGGAGGAAGAUCUUGAGAGGAUGUCUGAGAAGUGUAUCCAUGAUGUACUUGAGGUAUACGUAUAAGUAAAACUAUUUGUGUUGUAUGUUGUUGUUUUUAUUGUUUGCUUCUUUUAAUUUUUGUAUUGUAUUUCUAUUAUUUUUAUGAUGCAGAAACUAAAUUCAUUGGGACUACUCAACCAAUCAAUUUCAAAUACUUAGUUGUGCAUUCAUGAUAAAGUUAUGGAUGGUACAAGUACAAUAGAAAGUUGUUCUGCCCACCAGGACAAUAUUGAAAUGACACAAUCAUAACUAGAUAAUACUAAGAGAUUUUCAAUGAUAUUACAUAGUAUUCCACACAUCUGCCAAGAUAUUAAAUUAAGUCAUGAUUCAAAUAAGUAUUCCAUACUUCCUAAGACUUCAAUUAUGGAAUUUUUAAAGGGGGAUGAAUGGAUAUAAAAUACCAUAUUACAAUUGGCGUGCUCAUAAGUAUAAUUUUUACGUUGGUUUUUAUUUAUAUUCAAACAUUCUCGUACGUUAACAUAAAUAUUUGACUCUUGCAGGUUCUUGUAUUAGAUGUGUGUUGAAAGGGAUUUAAAAAGGAAUCGUUUCAUAGAUCUAGGGCACAUUAGCCUUCAUGGUGGUAUGGUAGCAAACAAUAUCACGAUUUACGUACAAGAAAAGUUGUUGAACGAGAACAAAGAAUGUUAUUUAACCCCAUUUUUUCUCCCAUAAGUAUUAGUUUGGAUUUUCGUUUAUAAAUCAAUUUUAUACAUAUUAUUAAUUAUUUUAAAUGUAUAUGCCGUAGUCAUUGACAAGUAUAUGCAAUAGUCAUUGGCAGAUGGAUGUAGCAAUAAGCCAAAUAGCAAAAAUGGGGGAGGGAAAAUUUAGAUUAUGAUAGUCACCAUGGAGAACAUUGAUACAAUGAAAACACUCGCAAACAAUUUUCUUUUCCUUUUUAGAUAGAGUGUGACAUGCCAAAGGAAAAUAACUUAUUUUUCCUCUAUCUUCUAGGGCUAAUUAUUGUCGUAUACCUGUCUACACCAUAUCUAAACGAGAAAUCUUAUUAUCUUUAGUCUUGUCUGGAAUGUUUAGGAGUACUCUAAUCAAACUAUCACACACAUUUUUCUCCACAUGCAUUACAUUAAGACAAUGUCUUACAUCGAAGGUAGAUUAAUAUGGAAAAUUAAAGAACACCAAUCUCUUUUUCCAAAUAUUUCUUUAAACUUGACCUUUUUUAUUCUUUCCAAAGACAAGAAUAAAGUGUUCUUGUCAUUGAUAAACUUCAUCGCCAAUUAAAUGUUUAUGAGCAAUUUCAAACUCUCGUUCUCCAUUAUAAGCCUUCCGCAAUCUACAAUAAGGAUGAUUGGGUUUUAGUAAUUUCUUAUACUCAAGGUAAAUGGUAUUUUUUUUCCAAACUCAAAUCGGUUAACACGCUUUAUGUCCUUUGACAUUGUAUCCAACCAAAUUACCAUAUGCAGGAAAGUCGUUGAUUGUGCAAAAUAACAUAGCACACAUCUUAAACUUUUCACCAAAAUAUGCAUCCUUAACGUUAACGCAUUCCUUCCAUAUAAGUAUUAAAUAUUCAAUUAAUGGACUUAGAUAAACAUCUAUGUAGUUUCCAUAUUAUUUUGUUCCAUAAAUUAUCAUACUUAACAACAUAUAAUUGUGCUUCAUGCACAAUCAAGGAGAUAGGUUGUAAAUUGUGAGAAUAACGGGAUACGAAGAACAAUUAGUACUCAGAUUAUCAAAGAGGUUCAUUUCGUCCGUGGCAAGUCCAUGUCUAAGGUUUCUUGGCUCAAGUCCAAAAUCUGGAAACAACAAACCAAUUUUAUUCCAUUGCAAAGAAUCAACUAUAUGGUGAAUGUUUCCAUAAUAUUUCCUUUCAUCUGCAUGUCAUCUAAUAUUCUUUGCAUCAUUCAAAUUAGCAAAAAGUCUUUUGAACCUUGAAAUUAUGGUCAAGUACCAUGACACUUUAGCAGAAGGACGCUUAUUACUAACAUUGUAAUUAUUAUCACCAUUGUUGUCCAUCACCUUGUAGCAUGACAUGCCACAUUCCGAAUAUUUAUCCAAAUUUUCAUCUUUUUCCUGUAUAAUAUGCAAUCAUUAGGGCAUGCAUGUAUUUUGAUAUACUCCAAACCAAUUAGACACAGUAUCUUCUUGGCCUCAUAACAAUGAUCUAACAAAUUUUUAAUCUUUGUAUAGCAUUUGUUUCAACAAAUCAAGCAAUUUCGUGAAACUUUUAUCUGACCAUCCACUUUUUUCUUCAAAUUAAGCAUUUUUAACAACACAGACAAUCAUGUAAAGCUUGUGCACCCCUUAUAUAAAAGAGCAUACUUACCACUACUUAAAGUAUCAUAAAUAUGGGCUUUCAUAAAAAUCGAUUCUCCAAUAUCACAAAUCAUAUCUUCUAGUCGAUCAUCCAUAUCUUCAUCAACUUCAUGCAUUUGUGACAUUGCUUUUCGAUUUUUAUCCAUUUCUCCAUGCCAUAUCCAUAUUUUAUAAUUUUGACAUAUUCCACCACAACAUAUGUGAUGUAAUAUUUAUUCCUUUCAACGUUUUUUUAUAUUCCCGCAAUUAACACAAGAACAAUAAAAGAGACCAUUAUUUCCAGGAAUAUUUUGUUCCGCGAAUUCAAGGAAUUCGAGAACUCCUCUCUCAUACACCAAGACUAAUCUAUAAGUUGUCAUCCAACUACGAUCCAUAAUAAAUUCUGAAAUUUAUAUCAAAAGACUAAUGUGAAUGACUCACUAAUGCUACACCCAUAACAUACUAAUAUGGUUAUAUGCAUAUGCAUAUCCAUCACAAUAAUAUAACAUUUAACAACACCAAGAUCUAUAGCAUAUUCAUAACCACAAAUAUAAUUCAUGACAUCAAUCAACAACCCAACAAUUUCAUUUGCAACUGCACAAAGUCAUAGUCACAAAAUCUGAAUAAAACAUGAACAAAGCAACAUGAACAAUACACAUCACAAUGUCAAUGCUCAAACGGCUGAUUUAGGAAAUGCAACAAAAGCCAACAUCAUUGAUGUGUUAAAUAAAGAAAUCAGUACCCUAGUGAAGGACAUAAACAUUCAGAAAGUUUUACUACAACUAACCACAGUUCGAGAGACAGACCAAGAAAUGUACUGUACUUUGAAGAGGAGGAAGAGACCAAGAAACGAUUUUUGUUCCAAGAAAUGAAUGAAGAGGGUGAAGAUUGGACGUUCCAAAUGAAUGAAGAUGGUGAAGAUAAAGAUUUCGCUAUCUCCGUCGGCUGGUUCACUAGGUCAUGUUUUAUGCAGGAAAUAAAGAACUUGUUAUGUUUUAAUUUUGCAGUAAAGAAUUUUACCACAGUUGUCAAUACCAACCGUAGUGAAAUAUGGCAUAUGUAAUAACAGUUGAUAAAAACAAUCAUAGGUAACUGUUUUUCAAUUUUUAUUUAACAAUAUAAGUUAUGGGAUAAACUUUUUUUAUAGAAGAAAUGGAAAAAUGUUAAUGUUGGGAUUCAAAGCUUGUAACCCUUAAACUAUCACCACAAUUAUUAUUAUUAUGAACCGUGAUGAAAAGUAUUUUAAUAAAAAAAAAAUCAGGCGAGUAAAAUUACUACGGUUGACACAAUGGUCGUAGUAUAAUAUGAUGUUACCAAAAAUAUAUUUCGUAGUAGUAGUUAUUUGACAAGUACAAGAUCAAAUAUUCUCCAUGUUAUAGGAUUCACAAGUCUCUAUAUGGAGGCUCCAACAACAACUCACUUCAAGGCAGAAAAGAGAAUCCUUCAAUACAUCAAAUGUAGAACAAACUUUUGCUUGCACUAUUACUCUUCUAAAUUUUUUGAGAUUGUUGGCUAUAGUGACAGCGAUUGGAGUAGAGACUUGAUGAUAGAAAAAAAAAACUAUUGAUUAUGUCUUCUUUAUGGGAGUUACCUCUCUCAAUUGGAUGUCAAAGAAACAAUAAAUCAUCACAUUGUCAACUUGUGAUGUCGAGUAUGUCGUCGCCGCAUCAUGUGUUUGUCAUGCAAUUUAGUUGAGAAACUUGUUGAAACAGUUAAAAAUGCCAUAAGAAGAUCCUAUGGAAAUAUGUGUUGACAAUAAAUCUGCAAUUGCCAAAGAAUCAUAUCUUUCAUAAAAGAAUUAAACACAUCGACACCCGUUACCAUUUCAUAAGAGAAUGCAUCGAGAAGAAGGAGGUGAAGUUGAAGUAUGUAAUGUCUCAAGAUCAAGCUCCCAACAUUCUCUCUUAGCCAUUCAAGUUGGAAACUUUUGUGAAGGUAAGGAGUAUGUUUGGAGUCACAAAUCAAGUUUAAGGGGGGUGUUGAAAUAUUAAACUUGAUUUGAGUCUAACCUUAUUAUUUUGAUUUUGAUUUUUGGGCUUAAUUAUUUUGGGCCUAGAUAAGUCAUGUAGUGUUUGGAGUGUUUAGAUAUUUUUUAUAAUUGUAAUAUUUUCUAGAAUCCUCUUGGAAUUUCUAGAGUGGAGAAAUCUAUAGAAUUAGUGUGUCUAGAAUCAAGUUGGAAACUUUUGUGAAGGUAAGGAGUAUGUUUGGAGUCACAAAUCAAGUUUAAGGGGGGUGUUGAAAUAUUAAACUUGAUUUGAGUCUAACCUUAUUAUUUUGAUUUUGAUUUUUUGGGCUUAAUUAUUUUGGGUCUAGAUAAGUCAUGUAGUGUUUGGAGUGUUUAAAUAUUUUUUAUAAUUGUAAUAUUUUCUAGAAUCCUCUUGGAAUUUCUAGAGUGGAGAAUUCUAUAGAAUUAGUGUGUCUAGAAUUCUCGUUAGAUUAUUAUAAAUAUGAAUCUAAUCUUACACUUUUGUAUCAAGUGAAAUACAAAAUCAUCUAUUCCAUAAAUAAUUCUCCAAUCUAUCAAGUUUUUAUUCAAGUCUCUAAUAUUCCUAAAUAAUUUCCUCAAACGUAAAAGAUCUUAUUUCCAACGAAGAUCUUAUAAACUGCAAACUAUUUUCUACUGCAACCAAUUAGGACUUAUGGAAGCCUAAAAAACAUGUUUCAUAAGUCUCAACAAGUUUUUUAUUUUGAUUUGGUUUCACAUUGUCUUGUAUUAGUGGCACAUGACUUUGCAAGGAGGGAGAACAAACCAUAAAGUUUCACAAAGGCCUUAGCCUCUUGUAAGAUAUUUAUAGUUAUAAACAAAAUGUACAAAUUAAUUUGCCUUGUCUUUUCUGCUCUUCUUGGUAUAAUUGAGAUCAUGAUAUUGAUUACAACUAGAUCAUGCUCACUUAUUUUACAAUGUGAAUCAUGUAGACAUUGAGAUCAUAUCAAUAUCAACGGAUGAAAUCAUAAACAAGAUUAUUUUAUUUAUAUGUAUCAACUUUUAGAUAUUCGAUGAUCCAUCACCCUUAGAUAAACUUCGAAGCAGUAUUGUUGGUGCGGCUGCGAGACUGAGAGCGAGGGAGCACAGUGGUAGUGGUUCGACUUCUUUUGAUCAUACAACAAAGGUAAUUAGUGCUUUCUCUAUCCUUUUCUAUUGAUACUUCCUUAAUACUUACAUCUAAGAUCAGCCACUGGGUUGAUUUUAAAAAAAAUAUAUAUCCAACGACGCAAAUGUAUCAUUGCAACAUCAUACACUUUUAUUUUAUUUUUUCUUAUUUUGCAGUAUGUAUUAUUUGUCGAAUACAUGCUCGGAGAAAUAUGAAUUUCUAGUAUAUUAUUUGUUGAAAUAGCGUAGCCAUAGCUUCUACGACUCUGGAAAAUCAAGAUGAAAUAUAUACUGCUCUAGAAAUAGCAUUGAAGCUUGAAAAUAGUAAGACUAGAUCUAAUUAUCAUAGCUAAUUAUUUUUAUGGUAAUUUUCAUAUGACAGUAAGCGCAUCUUUUAACUACAGAUUUACAAGUGAUUAUGUUAAGUAUGAAUCAUAUAGUAAGAACGUAGCAAUUUCCAAUAUCAAAUAUAUAUUAUAUAUAUAUAAUAUAUAUAUAUAUAUAUAUAUAUAUAAUAUAUAUUAUAUAUAUAUAUAUAUUAUUGCUUGUAAAAAUGUAACUUUAAUUAAUAACAAAAAUAGAAAGGAAUUGGAUGUACUCUAUAGUCGUAGAGGUAGACACCGUUAAUUAAACAACGUUAAGAAAAAUUAAUCAUGUUCAUUGUCUUUUACUUUCAUUUCUUUUUAAAAUUUUAUAUUUGGUUGUUGUUGUAACAAUUGGUAUCAGAUGACGAUUAACACUUAUGUGAAAUUCGAGGUGAGAAGGUUCGACAUGACGAGUAAUUACAGAUUAUGGGAAGACAUUGUGUGAGACAAAACCGAACGACAUAGAGAAUAUAGAUUGGGAAGAGAAGAAGGAGAAGGCCCCGUGAUUGAUUCUCUUAUGUGUUUCAGAUGAGGUGAUGACUUUAACAACAUAAUCAUUGAUCUGGUUGGGGUGAAGGUUGUGGACGAAGAUAAGGUAAUUAUAUGGUUGUGUUUACUGCUACAUUUUUUCUCAUUCUCAAAUGAGACAUGGUGUAGAGAAAGCAACUUAAUGCGACAGUCUGUAUGUGAUGGUGGUCAAGAGCGUGGGAGGAUUUAGGGUAAAGCGGGGAAUCAGCUGAGUGUUAUAAUUGCAAAUAAACUAGGCAUUAAAAGAGGGCUCAUCCAUUUUUAUAAAUAUGGUUCAGAUCGAUGAUUCUCGAAGUGAAGCAAUUAUAUUGAGUGCUUCAUCCCGCUAGUGCUUAAAUGCAAGAGUUUUUUAUUCUUGUUCUCCUUACCACUUGGCGUCGGGAAAAUCAUGGUUCACUACAUUCAGAUAAGGUUAUCUUGGAUUUAUUUAUUUUGAUAAUGACAAAGCUUGUACUAUCACUAGAAUAUCACUAGAAUGAGACAAAUUUAAAUUUCCAUAGAUGAUGGUUGCAUACGAACAUUAAACAAUGUUAGAUAUAUUUUAUAAUUGAGGAAGAAUUUGAUUUCCCUAAGUAUUUUACAUCAGUUGAGUUUAAUAAUAAUGCAACCAAACUCUGGAAUAUAUGUUUCAGUCAUAUCAAUGAGCGUGGGAUGAUGAAAAUUCAUUAGAUAAGUCUAUUGAAUGGUCUUUGUAGUUCCAAUAUGUAUUUGUUCAAGUAUUAUGUACUCGCAAGACAAUGUCUUUUUCGGUUUAUGACCGAAAAGCAUAAAACAAUGUGAAUUUUAUACUAUGUACAAUCAGAUGUGUGAGGCCUAUCAAAGAGCUUUCCAUUGCUUGUUCCGAAUAUUUUGGGACUUCCGAAGUAGAUUUAUUCGCAAGAUUUUGGUGUAUUUCUUGAAGAAGAAAUAUGAUCUUUUUACUAAAUUCAAGUUGUGGAAGGCAGAGGUAAAAAAUCAAACAUGUAGAAAAAUCAAGUAUUUGCAGUCAGAUAAUGGGAUAUAGUACAUUAAUUCAAGAUGCUUUGUGAAGAAGAAGGUAUCCAAAGGAAAUUCUCAGUUUGUAAGAAACCAUACCAAAUGAUGUGGCAAGAGGAUGAUAGGUCUCUAACUGAACGAUGAAAAUGUAUCUUUCUAAAUGUUGUGCUAUCAAAAGGUUUAUAUAGAGAGGCAGUAUAACAUGACAUUUUAUCUUAUCAAGAGUUCACCACUGGCUUCAUUUGAGGGGAAGGUUAUAUAGGAAGGAUUUACAUGUAAUCCUAUUGAUCUCGAUAAAUAAAGGAUUUUUGGGUGUCAACCUUAUAUGAAUAUAUCAAGUGAAGAUCAAUCCAAACUUGAUCCAAAGUUGAAGAAGUGUGUCUUCAUCAGUUACGCAAAAAUAAGAUGGUAAUAAGAAGAGAUGUUUCUUUUUAUGAGCAAACGCUAUUGAAGUAGUCAGUUGCAAUAUAUGCAUCGGAAUCUAAAGUAGAAAUUUCCAACAAAUAGGUGAUUUAGGUGGAUGUUGACCAGCCAUUAGUGAACAAUAUGCAUGUGGUUCCUGAACCACAAGUGGAACUUAACUCUAAUAUUGAAAUUGCAAACGGACAUGAUGUUUCAGGUGUAGUAUAAGAUUAUAUUCUUAUAUGUGACAGAGAACACCGUUUAACAAGGUCACCAUAAAUAUUUGUUGAUAACUUAUUUAAUGUGAGAUAUUUAAUCCCUUAAUAUUUGAAUUAUUAAGAAAAUUAUAUUUAUUUAGAAUUCAUUUUUUGUGUUUGUUUAUAUUUAGCUUAAUUAGUGAUUAGCACACCAGACGCUCUUUCAUUUACUUUGUAUAUUGUUUUUUUAUGCACAAGAGUAGCCUUGGUGACGAGUUAUGUCAUGCCAAAUAUCUAUGAUCAAUACUAACCCGGUUUAAAUCUAGUAGAAGGUUUGAAUUGCAACAUUAUGGCUAACAUGGAAGAGUUGAAAGAAAAAAAAUUAGGGUUGAGAUGUAAAGUCAAAAAUAUAAGGAUGAAUGUUAGAAGAUAAAGUCUGAAAACCUAUUUAGACCACUGUUACAUCUACCAACAUAAUUUCAAACCUGCUAUGAAAUGUGUUGAUGUGUACUACUAAUGCACCAGUAUUAGAAGACAAAAGGAAUAUGAAAUAUUCAUUAGGCCUGACCAUUGGAUAAUCAAAAGGCUGAGAACUGACUAUCAAAGGAUAUUCAUUAGGAUGAGAAAAAAAGGUUCUGAAUUUUAGAGAUAAAUUAUUCAUAACAAGGAAGGAAGGUUGAAUCAAAGUUUGAUGUGUCUCCCGCCCUACCAUUUUUGAAUAAUUUAGCACAAUCAUACGUGACACAAGACACCUCCUGCUGAUUGAUGAUUGCAAGUAGUUGAGGUGUCACUCUUAGGUUUAUCUUUCUUUUCUUUACUGAGUAGAAAUUUUAAGCUUAGGAACUUGUGCUAUUAUGAUUCUUUUUCUCACCAUGAGCUAAACUCUUUGUGUUGGUCCACGUGAAAUAUAGUUGAAAAGUAAUCUUUUAUACAGUCUAUUUAUAUAUAUUAAAUCCAGUGCAUCAAACUAUCUUGCGACACUUCAUCUUCAUGUAUGAUACAUCAUUUAUUUUCCUAUGUGACAUCUCUCAAAAUUCAUCUACAAUUUUUAAAAGGUCAAAACAUAUUGUUUCUCUCUAUAAAAGCUCAUCGGUUCGAAUCAAAACUAAUGCAAAAAUACAAUUACCUAAUAUUUGAUUAUUAACUUUAUUUAUUUUAAAAAAAUAUCAUACUAAUUUAUUCACAAUAAAUUUAUCAUUAGUCCAACUAAAUACAUUUAAAAAAAAAAUAAAAGAGAUGUUUAGAUCCACACACUUUAAAAUAUUUUUUGUUUUCUUAAAAUCAUAUCAACAAAAGAACCACUUGAAAAAUACUUUUAAUGUUAAAAUAUAUAUUCCACAAAAAAUUAUUUCAAUUGGUAAAAUAAAAUCUUGUAUGUCACUCUCAAGUUACAACUAUAUAUUUUUUUAUUUCGUAAUUAAUUCAUAUUAUUGUCUCACUUAUUUAUAAUAAAAUUAUAAUAUAAAUUUGUUGUUCAUAUUUACAAAAUUAAAAUUCUUAAUAUAUAUAAAACUCAAUAUAAAAUAAAUAAAAAUUAAUUAACAGCCGCGCAUCGCGCUGGUCUCAAUCUAGUAUGAAUUAAUUUUAGUGACUUAUUUUGUCAUAUGUAUUAAAGUUAUAUAUGUGUUUCUUUUCCUGAUCACCAAACAAAUACAUAUCAUUUAUUAUUAUUAUUAUUGAGGAAUUCGCUAAUAAAUGUACAUCAUGACAAAUAUGAAUAAAAAAUUAAAUAAGAAUACUUUUCCAUUUAGUUACUUUAGGGAUAAUGAACUAAAACUAUAGGGAAUGUAAAACUCAUUAAAGAUGUCCAUAAUUGAUAUUAUGAGACUUAAGAUUUUGUUCAAUAGUUAUUCACUACACAUACUUAGACGUUGUAGUCAUACACCACUAGGUCAUAUUCUAACCUCAAUUGUUAGGACAUAUCAUAUCUAAAGAAAUAUUACUGCCUGCCUUUCAUUGAUGUGAUAUCACAAAUAUAUACAAUUGUUACCAAAUCCCUCUGUUUAGGAAGGUAUUGAUGUUUCAUGAAUAUAAUUACAUAUAGAGAUAUUGACAAAUCAUUUUCUAUUAAUACGAGGCAUCAGUAGAAAUAGUAACAAAUCAUUUUCUAUUAAUAUGAUAUUCUAUUACUCCCCCGCAGUCGAAUUGGGAGGUUGACUGACGUUGAGAUUGUCCCGAAAGUCCUGAAAGAGUAUUAAUGGAAGGCCUUUGGUAAAAUUGUCUGCAAUUUGAUACCGUGAGGGGACGUGGAGGACCCGAACAUGGUCGCGAGCUACUUUCUCGCGAACGAAAUGUAUAUCCAUCUCAAUGUUUUUCGUUCGUUGAUGUUGAACUGGAUUACCAGAGAGAGAUAUUGCACUUACGUUGUCACAGUAAACUAAGGUGGCCUUAUGAAUAGAACAAUGUAACUCGAGAAGGAGAUUGCGGUAGCCAACAAGAUUCAGAAACCACGUUAGCAACACCACGGUAUUCGGCUUCAGCACUAGAUCGUGAUAAAGUGGGUUGAUGUUUUGAUGACCAAGAAAGCAAAUUAUCACCUAGAAACACACAGUAACCAGAAGUAGAGCGCCUAGUAUCAGGACACCCUCCCCAAUCGGCAUUUGUAUAAGAUUUUAGGAAGGUAGUACAUGAAGGAUAAAGAUUCAAACUGUAGUUUCGUGUGCCCUGAAUGUAGCAUAAGAUGCGUCGUAGGGCAUGCCUGUGAGCAUCCAUUGGAUUAUGCAUAAAGAGACAUAUUUGUUGAACGACAUAGGAGAUAUCGGGCCGAGUGAAGGUGAGAUACUAAAGAGCACCUGCAAGACUGUGAUAAAGUGAUGGAUCCUCAUAUGGAGUGCUAUGUGUGGCACUCAUCUUUGGCUUUGUGUCAACUGGGGUUGGACAAGACUUGCAGGUUGACAUGCCGACGCAUACUAGGAUGUCUUCGGCAUACUUUUUUUGGGAGAUAAAAAUACCUCUUUGAUGGCGAGUGACUGCAAUACCCAAAAAAUAGCUCAAGGGUCCCAAAUCUUUCAUAGCAAACUCUGAACUAAGAAGUGAAAUGAUAGAUUUUCGUAGAGCAUCAGAAGAAGUAGUAAGAAUAAUGUCAUCAACAUACAGUAAGAUGUAAGCCAUAUGAGUGUCUUUCUUGUAGAUGAAAAGAGAGUGAUCACACUUGCUUUGGGUGAAGCCAAUAGAAGAAACAUAAUCUGCAAAUCGCUUGUACCAAGCUCGAGGAGCUUGUUUAAGCCCAUAUAGUGAUUUACGGAGAAGACAGACAUGAUGAGGAUUCACUGGGUCCUUAAAUCCCAACGGUUGAUGCAUGUAGACCGUUUCUUUUAGUUCUCCAUGGAGAAACCCAUUCUUGACAUCCAAUUGAUGAAUUUGCCAAGAUUUUGAGAUAGCAAUACUAAGGACAGUGCAAAUAGUAGCUGGUUUGACCACAGGACUAAAAGUUUCUCCACAAUCGAUGCCAACCUGUUGACCUGCACCAUCACCUACAAGUCGGGCUUUAUGCCUCUCAAAAGAACAGUCAGAUUUUUCUUUAUGUCUAAAAAUCCACAUAGAUCGAAUAACAUUAACACCGGUGGGUCGUGGCACUAAAUCCCACGUCUUAUUUUUAAUUAGAGCGUUAUAUUCAUCAUCCAUGACCAUUUUCCAAUUUGAGUCUUUAAGUGCAUACACUGAGUUUUUAGGUAUAGGAGAUUUUGUGACAUGGGUGUGGAGGCCAUAAUAUUUUUGGUUUGGCAUAAAAAUUCCAUGUUGACUUCUAGUAAUAGGUUUUGUAUAUAUUUGUAAGGUGGGUUGGAAAAUUGCAGGAAUGGUAUUUUGACUUAUGGAUUAAAUAUCUGUUGUUGUGAGGUGUGGGGAGAGGGAGUUUGUAUUUGAUAAUGUGGUGGGUUGUUGUGGAGGAGGAAUAGGGAUGUGAGACCGAGUGGGUGAGGUUAUGGUUGUGGGUGGGUCCGUAUGGGAUGAGGUGGACCGGUUUGAUGGAUGAGGUGGGUCCGUAUGGUUGUGUGGGUUAUUUUGUGUUUGGGUAAUUAUGUGGUUUAUGUAGUAGGGGGACAACUCGUUUUCAAGGAAGUUAUAUGUAGUAGGUUGGGGGGUGUGGAACUUUGCAUAUGGAAAAUGAGUUUCGUCAAAUAGGACAUGGCGGCAAAUAAUAAUUUUAUUGGAUGUUAAAUCUAGACAUUUAUAUCCUCGAUGAUUUUUCGGAUACCCAAGAAAGACACAUGGAGUGGAUCGAGGUUGGAGCUUAUGUAUCGUAGUGGAAGAAAAUAGAGGAUAACAUAAACAACCAAACACUCGUAAAUGUGAGUAAGAGGGUUCUUUGUGAUAUAACAUUUUAAGUGGAGACUCAAAAUUUUAUGGUUUUGUUUGGAAAAAUGUUUAAGAGAUAUGUUGCCAUUUCAAGAGCAUGAUGUUAAAAAGUAGGUGGUAAAGACGCGUGAAUUAAUAAAGUUCGAAUAAUAUUAUUAACGGAGCGUAUUUUUUGUUUGGAUUUGCCAUUUUGAGAUGAUGUAUAAGCGCAAGACAAGCGAAACAACAUUCCAUUAAUAUCACACAUGUUUCGAAAAUUAUUAUUGACGUAUUCACUACCAUUGUCACAUUGAAUUGUUUUAAUUUCUCGUUGAAAUUGGGUGUUGAUGUAAGCCUUUAGUUUUUGAAAAUUUUUCACUACCAUUGUCACAUUGAAUUGUUUUAAUUUCUCGUUGAAAUUGGGUGUUGAUGUAAGCCUUUAGUUUUUGAAAAUUAGAAUAUACUUGAGAUUUGUUUGACAUUGGAAAAGUCCACAAAAAAUUUGAGUAAUUAUCCAAGAAAAGAACAUAAUAUUUGUGACCUAAAGAGCUUACAACAGGAGACGUCCAUACAUCGCUAUGUAAAAUAUCAAACGGCAAAAACUAGUAUUAUUUGAAUUCAUGAAAGGCAACUUGAUAUGUUUACCAAGAGGAGAAGAACGACAUAAACGAGAAUGUAUUUGUCUAGAUUUAUUACAUUCAAUAAAUUUAUUUUGUCUAAGAGAAUUUAAAAUGUGUUCUCCCGGAUGACCCAAGCAAUCAUGCCACAGAGAAGACGAUAAAGCUGCAAGAGAAAGAUUAGGCUUUGAUUUAUUUUUGGAGUUGGUUUUGGUUGUGAUGGGGUAUAGAUCACCUCGACUCUCACAUCUCAUUAGAGCGAUCCCCGUCUGAAAGUCCUUCACAGAAAAACCAAACGGGUCAAAUUCAAUUGAAACCUUAUUAUCUGUGGUAAAUUUAUGAACCGACACUAAGUUUUUAAUUAACUUUAGAGCAUGUAGUAUAUUGUUUAGGACAAAAGGGGGGUGUGGGGGGUUUUAUGUGUGCACUGCCAAGGCCAUAAAUUGGAAUAGAGUGGCCACUUCCGACAAUUAUAUUAUUAUUUUUGCUCAAUUUAAAAUAAGACGAAAGAUUACCUUGCGAGGAUGUCAUAUGAGAAGUGGCUUCGGUGUCCAUAUACCAAGAUUGAUCAGGCUGAGCAAGAUUGAGGGUGUGUAAAGCAGUUUCAAUAUCAGUUGGGCUGGGUGCAUUAACAUUGCAAGCAGCCUGUUGUGGUCUUGGCCCAAGGACUCCUCCUUGUUGAGUCUGUGCAGCAUUAGUGGGCCUACUCCAAUUGUAAGAUGGAUAAGGGCAAGGUGGUAUAUUCCAUGGAGCCCAUUGUUGCCAUGGCAUCCAUUGUUUCCAUUGUUGUUGACCUUGACCACGACCCCCGCCGUUGAAAUGAUUAGGACCUGUCCGACCGCCCCUCCCGUAGUUUCGGCCACUGUUGUUGUGGUUGUUCUUUUUGCCUCGGUUGCCGCGAGAGGUGUUAGAUGGUGGGUUACGGUUUUGAUAAGUGUAACCAGGAGAGGAAUGACGAGGGACAUCAUCAUUUGACAGUGAGACGCCACAUAAGUUACGAACUCGGCAUAAGCCUCAGUGAGACCGGAGAUCAUUUUUAAUACCAAACGAGUAUUUGUGACUGGAGAAUCAACGUUUGUGAGUUGAUCGGAGAGGAGCUUGAGACGGUUGCAAUAGGCUUUGGUGGAGGGAAAAUCUGCCAGAUUGGUAUUGCUAAACUGGUUUUCAAGUUGAACGGCCCGUGAGUGCUUGUUAUCAUUAAACAUAGCGGAGAUACGAUUCCAACUUAGUUCGGCGGUGUCGUUAAUCACAAGAACAUAAUGGAGUAUAUCUUGUGUGACAGUUGCAUACAUCCAUUACAACACAGCGGCAUCUAGACAAUUCCAAAGGUCGGGAUCAUUGGCUUUGACGGUGGCUGCCUCAGCACGAGCUUGCUCGUCAAUAGGUGGUAUGAUGUGAUCAAGCAUGUUGUGAACACGUGCUUGCACGGUGAAUAGAGCGGACCAAGAGAGAUGGAGAUCGGAGUCAUUAUCCAACGUCACUGGUAUGAUGUUUUUGACGUUGGUAAUGGCGAAAUCAGAAUGAAAGUUGGUUUUCGCCACAGGAGGGGAUUGGUUCAUCGUUGACGAAGUGUCGUCACCAUUGGAUGUGGGAGAAGAAGAGGUGUUGGUCAUGGUGGAAUAGAAGAGUUGCAGUGGUUAAGAGGGAUAUAUUUGGAUCGUGUAGUCUGAUACCAUAAAGAAAUAUUACUGCCUGCCUUUCAUUGAUGUGAUAUCACAAAUAUAUACAAUUGUUACCAAAUCCCUCUAUUUAGGAAGGUAUUGAUGUUUCAUGAAUAUAAUUACAUAUAGAGAUAUUGACAGAUCAUUUUCUAUUAAUAUGAGGCAUCAGUAGAAAUAGUAACAAAUUAUUUUCUAUUAAUAUGAUAUUCUAUUAAUAUCAUACUCACACACUAGGUGAAAUUAUUAAAUGGAUCAUUUCUUGACAUGCUUCUUUACUCUGUUAAACAAGCUUACUUCUUAGUUACUACUUCUUGUUUUAACCAAGUGACAACUAUCAAUUAUUAUUUAUCUUUAAUCAUAUUCUUUUCACAAAAUAUUUGACUGAAAACUCAACUUAACUUAAUACAAUAUCUAUGGAAUCGAUACGUUUUACUUUUAGCACCUACUACCAUUUUGAUUGUGUAUACAUGCACUUACAAAGAAGCCAAUAAGUAGUUGGCUCAGUUGCAGAGGAUUGUGUCAUUAACACUUUGAUUUUCAUUGAGAUUGUAAAAAGUAACAUUUGAGCUUUUGACACAUUUUUUUUAAUCUUUUGGUGUCACGACAAGUGUGUGGCUGCUGCAUGUGUAGAUUGUUAACUCUUGUUUGUAGAGGAAACAUUGAAUUAGAAAGAAAAUUUUAAACUUCUAAGAGAUGUCAUGUUUCUAAUCAUCUUCUUGGAAUCCCUAUUCUGGCUCCAAUUUCUAAAAAACUUGAAGAAGAUCUUGAGAAUCCUUAACAUGGAGAAGAUGAUAUCAUGACAAAAAGAGAUAUCAUUGGCAUUGCUAAUGAUAUGUAAAUAAGUAUCUGGAACUAUGUUGUUUUUGAUCUCGAGUAUUAGUAUUAUCAUACUAGAGAUUAUUAUGGCUCAGUUUGAGUUCGAGUAAUUGAUGUUUCAAACACUUAAAUCCAUUAGUUAAUACUUAGGGGCUGCCAUUGUUGAACAACACUUGCAUUUGUGGAAUUUUUGGAGGUUGCGAGCAAUUUUAAAAUCCCUGGAGUCACUGAUGAUGCUUUUAGAUUGAGGAUAUUUCCAUAUUCUCCAAGGGGUAGAACUAAGAAUUUACUCAAUUCUUUGAAAUCAAUUUCCAUUGCCACAUGGAAUGACUUGAUUGCAAAUUUUUUAGCCAAAUAUUCCCCCGUCAAGAAUUCUAUGGUAAAAAAAUGAGAUCACCUUGUUCAUUUAAUGGGAUGAUGAGUCUUUGUUUGAUGUCUGGUAGAGAUUUAAAGAGUUAUUGAGAAAAUGUCCAUAUAAUGGCAUGCAAAUAUACGUUCAGUUGGAAACAUUUUAUAAUGGCUUAGUUCCAUCAUCAGAAAUUAUGUUGGAUGCAUCAUCUAGUGGUGAAUUAUUGUCUAAAUCCUAUACUAAAGAUUAUGAUUUGAUUUAGAGCAUUACUUCCAACACCUACUAAUGGCUAGUCACAAGAGCUACAACUGCCAUAGCUAAAAAAAUACCAGAUGGUGUACAUGAAAUCAUUGAAACUACUGCUCAAGUGGCUCAAAUUCACCAAAUGAUGAAGACUAUGAUAACACUUUCUGACCCGCUUGUUGUCGAUCUUAUCAAUGUAGUAGUAGAUUUUAUUGAAGUGGCUUGUGUUUAAUAUGUGUGACACACUUAUUUGAAGAAUGUUUUUCCAAUCGUUGUGAACUAUGUGGGAAACAAAAAAUUCAACAACCCAUAUAGUAACACAUACAAUCCAGGAUGGAGGAACCACCCAAAAUUUUCAUGGAGUAACACCCAAAAUCGACUAUGACCUUAAGCACCGCAAAUUCCUCAUAGUUUUUUGUUUGCACCUAGCACUACAGUGGCUAUAUAUAGAAAAAAAAAGGGAAUAAAUUUUGAAGUCCUUAAUUCAUAAAACAAAGAAUCAAUUUCAAGGCCAAUAAUUGAGCAUCAAGAAUUUAGAGAUACGAGAGUGGCAAAUUGCUAUUGCAUUAAGUUUAAGAGUCAUUCGUAGCACCAUCAAAUCACCUGCUUCUACUUUUGGUACAAAGGAUGUUGAAACUUGCAAGGCCAUUUCUUUAAGAGGUGGUAGAAUAUGAAGGUCAUUUCUUACCAAGUGACAACCAUCAAUUAUUGUUUACCUUUGCUCUUGUUUUUUUUUUCCACAAUUUUAUGGAUUGAAAAUCAACCUAAGUUAAUAUAAUCUCUAUGGGAUUGAUACUCUUGAUUUUAACACUUGCUACCACUUUGACUAUGUAUACUAGCAAAUAUAAUGCAACCAACAUAUGGGUAUGAGAAUUGGUAGCCUUUUCACUUCUUUUUAGUUUCGAAGACCCUUCCACCUUGCGAGAGACUAUAACUAGCCAUGAGAAAUAUAAGUGGAUUGGUGCAAUUAUGAAGGAGAUGGAGUCCUUGAAGAAAAAUCAGACAUGGAAGUUUAUUUAUCUUCCUAAUGGGACAAGGGACAUUUGUUGUAAAUGAGCAUUCAAGAGAAAAUCAACAGUAAUAUAAAAAGAAAGGGAAAAGUUCAAGUCCGUCUUAUAGAAAAGGGGUACCCAUAGUAGAAAGAGGUUGACUAUGAUGAGAUAUUUUCUUCGUUCGUUAUACAUGCUUCUAUCAGGACAAUGUUUGCCUUGGUAUCCAGAAAGGACAUGCAUUUAGAGCACAUGUAUUCAAAGAAGACAUUUCUUUGUGAUAAUCUAGAUACGAAAAUCUACAUAGAGCAGACAAAAGGGUUAUGUGACACUAGACAUGACAAACUAGUUUGUAAAUUGAAGAGGUCUUUGUAUGGUUUAAAGUAUUCUCCAACGCAAUGGUAAAAAUAAUUUGAUUCAUACAUGCUUUAGAUUGGCUACAAAAGAUAUGAAUAUAACUGUUGUGUUUAUGUUAAAAGCCUUGAUGAUUGCUCUUUUAUUUUCCUAUUAUUGUAUGUUAGUGAUUGCUGAUAAUCAUUUACAUGACAUAAAUGAAUUGAAAGUCAUGUUGGAAUAGGAGUUUGACAUGAAAGAAUUUGGUGUUGCAAAGAAGAUUCUUGGUAUGUGAACUCGCAGUGAUAAGAGUGAUAGAAAAUUAUGCAUCUCUAAAAAAAGUCAUGUUAAAAUGGUGCUAGACAAGUUUGACAUGAGUAACUCGAAGGUUGUGAAUACUCCAUUUGCGAAUUAUUUACGCUCUCAAUGAAGAAGUGUCCAAAGAUAGAUGCAAAAGAUGAGUAUAUGUCAAAUGUUUUUUAUCCUAGUAUUGGUUGUUUAAUGUAUGAUAAGGUGUACACUAUAUCAGAUUUGUCACAAGCUAUAAGUCAAGUUUGUAUGUUUAUAUCCAAAUCAGGAAAACGUCAUUACGAAGUAGUCAAGUGGACAUUCAUGUGCUUGAAUGGUACAAGCGGUCACAACAUCAUGUUUCGAAAUGAAUAAAUUGAUCCUUCAGUCCUAGGUUAUAGAUGAUAUAAGGUCUACAACAUGGUAUGUAUUUACUUUAGCAAGGUGACAUAUUUGUUGGAUGUCAUCAGUUCAGUCCAUACUGGUCAUGUUGACAACUAAAUACGAGUACAUGGUAGUAGGUGAAGCUUCCAAAGAAGACUUAUGACUUACAAGUUUGGUGAGAGAAUUGGGUGUUGAACAAGGUGGAGUUUGGUUGCAUUGUGAUAGUCAGAGUCACUUGUAUUUGAAAAAUAAUCAGAUGUAUCAUGUUAGGACGAAGCAUAUUGAUGUUAGAUUUCAUAUGAUCAGAGAGUUACUUGCAUUUGAACAUAUAUUAUUCUAAAGUGGUCAUACUUCAGAGAAUGCACUUGAUAUGUUAACCAAAACAAUCA